rnacentral:pre_miRNA from 1 species
GAGACACCCCUCCGGGGCAAGACUUGCUUCAAUGGGGCUUUGGUGCUCACUGAGUCUGCCCGCUGAGUGUGUCCUU